rnacentral:rRNA from 1 species
UGUAAAAUUUCAAAGGUCGAACAGACCCAAUAUUUUAGCUUCUACACCAAAAAUUUAUUUUAAUCCAACAUCGAGGUCGCAAUCUUUUUUUUUAAUAUGAACUCUCUAAAAAAAUUACGCUGUUAUCCCUAAGGUAAUUUUAUCUUUUAAUCAAAAAUAUUGGAUCAUUUAUUCAUAAAUUUAUGUAAUAAAAUAAAAAAAGUUUAUUAAAUUUUUCAAUCACCCCAACUAAAUUAUUAUAAAUAAAUAAUAAAUAAAUACUAAAAUAAUAUUUAUUUAAAAUAAUCAAACUCUAUAGGGUCUUCUCGUCUUUUAAUAAUAAUUAAGCUUUUUUACUUAAAAAUAAAAUUCUACUUAAAUUUAAUAGAGACAGUUAUUUUCUUAUUCAACCUUUCAUUCCAGUUUUCAAUUAAAAAACUAAUGAUUAUGCUACCUUAGCACGGUCAAAAUACCACGGCCAUUUAAAAUUUCAGUGGGCAGGUUAGACCUUAAAUUAUAAGCAAAAGGAC